AUUGAACGCUGGCGGCAGGCCUAACACAUGCAAGUCGAGCGGAGCGGCGGACGGGUGAGUAAUGCAUAGGAAUCUGCCUGGCAGUGGGGGAUAACGUCCGGAAACGGGCGCUAAUACAGCAUAAUAUGAGAUGAGACUAGGGCGGAUUCGCUAGUUGGUGGGGUAAAGGCCUACCAAGGCGACGAUCCGUAACUGGUCUGAGAGGCUGAUCAGUCACCCUGGAACUGAGACACGGUCCAGACUCCUACGGUAGGCAGCAGGGGGGAAUAUUGGACAAUGGGCGAAAGCCUGAUCCAGCCAUGCCGCGUGUGUGAAGAAGGUCUUCGGAUUGUAAAGCACUUUAAGUUGGGAGGCGUUACCAACAGAAUAAGCACCGGCUAACUUCGUGCCAGCAGCCGCGGUAAUUC
rnacentral:rRNA from 1 species